rnacentral:rRNA from 1 species
AACCAACGCUGGCGGCGUGCCUAACACAUGCAAGUCGAACGCGAAAGGGGCUUCGGCCCUGAGUAGAGUGGCGAACGGGUGAGUAACACGUGGGUGAUCUACCUUCGAGUGGGGGAUAACGUCCCGAAAGGGACGCUAAUACCGCAUGAUGUUCCGGGUUUAAAGACCUGGAAACCAAAGCCGGGGACCGCAAGGCCUGGCGCUUGAAGAGGAGCCCGCGUCCGAUUAGCUAGUUGGCGGGGUAAUGGCCCACCAAGGCGACGAUCGGUAGCCGGCCUGAGAGGGCGGACGGCCACACUGGAACUGAGACACGGUCCAGACUCCUACGGGAGGCAGCAGUGGGGAAUUGUUCACAAUGGGCGCAAGCCUGAUGACGCAACGCCGCGUGGGGGAUGAAGGUCUUCGGAUCGUAAACCCCUGUCGAAUGGGACGAAAGACCCGGGAGCUAAUCAUCCCGGGAGUGACGGUACCGUUAAAGGAAGCCACGGCUAACUCUGUGCCAGCCGCCGCAGUAAUAC